UGGGGAAUAUUGGACAAUGGGCGCAAGCCUGAUCCAGCCAUGCCGCGUGUGUGAAGAAGGCCUUUUGGUUGUAAAGCACUUUAAGCGAGGAGGAGGCUACUUGGAUUAAUACUCUAGGAUAGUGGACGUUACUCGCAGAAUAAGCACCGGCUAACUCUGUGCCAGCAGCCGCGGUAAUACAGAGGGUGCGAGCGUUAAUCGGAUUUACUGGGCGUAAAGCGUGCGUAGGCGGCUUCUUAAGUCGGAUGUGAAAUCCCUGAGCUUAACUUAGGAAUUGCAUUCGAUACUGGGAAGCUAGAGUAUGGGAGAGGAUGGUAGAAUUCCAGGUGUAGCGGUGAAAUGCGUAGGGGUCUGGAGGAAUACCGAUGGCGAAGGCAGCCAUCUGGCCUAAUACUGACGCUGAGGUACGAAAGCAUGGGGAGCAAACAG
rnacentral:rRNA from 1 species